AGUUGAUCCUGGCUUAGGAUGAACGCUAGCUACAGGCUUAACACAUGCAAGUCGAGGGGCAGCAUUAUCGAAGCUUGCUUUGAUAGAUGGCGACCGGCGCACGGGUGAGUAACGCGUAUCCAACCUUCCCAUCACUCAGGGAUAGCCCGCCGAAAGGCGAAUUAAUACCUGAUGGUCUCCUUCGCGGACAUCUAACGAGGAGUAAAGAUUCAUUGGUGAUGGAUGGGGAUGCGUCUGAUUAGGUAGUAGGCGGGGUAACGGCCCACCUAGCCGACGAUCAGUAGGGGUUCUGAGAGGAAGGUCCCCCACAUUGGAACUGAGACACGGUCCAAACUCCUACGGGAGGCAGCAGUGAGGAAUAUUGGUCAAUGGACGGAAGUCUGAACCAGCCAAGUAGCGUGCAAGGAUGACGGCCCUAUGGGUUGUAAACUGCUUUUGUGCGGGAAUAAAGUAUGGGACGUGUCCCAUUUUGCAUGUACCGCACGAAUAAGGACCGGCUAAUUCCGUGCCAGCCGCAGC
rnacentral:rRNA from 1 species